GGAGCCGUAGCGAAAGCGAGUUUUAACUGAGCGUUCAGUUACUUGACGUAGACCCGAAACCGGGCGACCUACCCAUGAGCAGGAUGAAGCGAAAGUAAAAUUUCGUGGAGGUCCGAACCCACGAGCGUUGAAAAGCUCGGGGAUGACUUGUGGGUAGCGGUGAAAUUCCAAUCGAGCCCGGAGAUAGCUGGUUCUCCCCGAAAUAGCUUUAGGGCUAGCCUCAAGGUGAGAGA
rnacentral:rRNA from 1 species